CGUGCUAGGUGGGGAGCUAGCGGUGCCCUGUUACCUGCAAUCCGCUAUAGCAGGACUGAAUUCCGCUCAGCGGAUCUUUACUUUCAGUGCAGGAUUUUGUGCUGUAGGUGUUGAGGGUUGGGUCUCACGCAACAGGGUUUUGUGAAUCCCGUCAGGUCUGGAAGGAAGCAGCGGUAAACAAAUCACCUUGUGUGCCGUGAGUAAGCCUGAUCUGAGCUUAAAGUACAGAAGACCACUGGAGGGAAGACUCAAUGAGUGGUGCACG
rnacentral:SRP_RNA from 1 species